AGCGUACACGGUGGAUGCCCUGGCAGUCAGAGGCGAUGAAGGACGUGCUAAUCUGCGAUAAGCGUCGGUAAGGUGAUAUGAACCGUUAUAACCGGCGAUUUCCGAAUGGGGAAACCCAGUGUGUUUCGACACACUAUCAUUAACUGAAUCCAUAGGUUAAUGAGGCGAACCGGGGGAACUGAAACAUCUAAGUACCCCGAGGAAAAGAAAUCAACCGAGAUUCCCCCAGUAGCGGCGAGCGAACGGGGAGCAGCCCAGAGCCUGAAUCAGUGUGUGUGUUAGUGGAAGCGUCUGGAAAGGCGCGCGAUACAGGGUGACAGCCCCGUACACAAAAAUGCACAUGCUGUGAGCUCGAUGAGUAGGGCGGGACACGUGGUAUCCUGUCUGAAUAUGGGGGGACCAUCCUCCAAGGCUAAAUACUCCUGACUGACCGAUAGUGAACCAGUACCGUGAGGGAAAGGCGAAAAGAACCCCGGCGAGGGGAGUGAAAAAGAACCUGAAACCGUGUACGUACAAGCAGUGGGAGCACGCUUAGGCGUGUGACUGCGUACCUUUUGUAUAAUGGGUCAGCGACUUAUAUUCUGUAGCAAGGUUAACCGAAUAGGGGAGCCGAAGGGAAACCGAGUCUUAACUGGGCGUUAAGUUGCAGGGUAUAGACCCGAAACCCGGUGAUCUAGCCAUGGGCAGGUUGAAGGUUGGGUAACACUAACUGGAGGACCGAACCGACUAAUGUUGAAAAAUUAGCGGAUGACUUGUGGCUGGGGGUGAAAGGCCAAUCAAACCGGGAGAUAGCUGGUUCUCCCCGAAAGCUAUUUAGGUAGCGCCUCGUGAAUUCAUCUCCGGGGGUAGAGCACUGUUUCGGCAAGGGGGUCAUCCCGACUUACCAACCCGAUGCAAACUGCGAAUACCGGAGAAUGUUAUCACGGGAGACACACGGCGGGUGCUAACGUCCGUCGUGAAGAGGGAAACAACCCAGACCGCCAGCUAAGGUCCCAAAGUCAUGGUUAAGUGGGAAACGAUGUGGGAAGGCCCAGACAGCCAGGAUGUUGGCUUAGAAGCAGCCAUCAUUUAAAGAAAGCGUAAUAGCUCACUGGUCGAGUCGGCCUGCGCGGAAGAUGUAACGGGGCUAAACCAUGCACCGAAGCUGCGGCAGCGACGCUGAUGCGUUGUUGGGUAGGGGAGCGUUCUGUAAGCCUGCGAAGGUGUGCUGUGAGGCAUGCUGGAGGUAUCAGAAGUGCGAAUGCUGACAUAAGUAACGAUAAAGCGGGUGAAAAGCCCGCUCGCCGGAAGACCAAGGGUUCCUGUCCAACGUUAAUCGGGGCAGGGUGAGUCGACCCCUAAGGCGAGGCCGAAAGGCGUAGUCGAUGGGAAACAGGUUAAUAUUCCUGUACUUGGUGUUACUGCGAAGGGGGGACGGAGAAGGCUAUGUUGGCCGGGCGACGGUUGUCCCGGUUUAAGCGUGUAGGCUGGUUUUCCAGGCAAAUCCGGAAAAUCAAGGCUGAGGCGUGAUGACGAGGCACUACGGUGCUGAAGCAACAAAUGCCCUGCUUCCAGGAAAAGCCUCUAAGCAUCAGGUAACAUCAAAUCGUACCCCAAACCGACACAGGUGGUCAGGUAGAGAAUACCAAGGCGCUUGAGAGAACUCGGGUGAAGGAACUAGGCAAAAUGGUGCCGUAACUUCGGGAGAAGGCACGCUGAUAUGUAGGUGAAGUCCCUCGCGGAUGGAGCUGAAAUCAGUCGAAGAUACCAGCUGGCUGCAACUGUUUAUUAAAAACACAGCACUGUGCAAACACGAAAGUGGACGUAUACGGUGUGACGCCUGCCCGGUGCCGGAAGGUUAAUUGAUGGGGUUAGCGCAAGCGAAGCUCUUGAUCGAAGCCCCGGUAAACGGCGGCCGUAACUAUAACGGUCCUAAGGUAGCGAAAUUCCUUGUCGGGUAAGUUCCGACCUGCACGAAUGGCGUAAUGAUGGCCAGGCUGUCUCCACCCGAGACUCAGUGAAAUUGAACUCGCUGUGAAGAUGCAGUGUACCCGCGGCAAGACGGAAAGACCCCGUGAACCUUUACUAUAGCUUGACACUGAACAUUGAGCCUUGAUGUGUAGGAUAGGUGGGAGGCUUAGAAGUGUGGACGCCAGUCUGCAUGGAGCCGACCUUGAAAUACCACCCUUUAAUGUUUGAUGUUCUAACGUUGACCCGUGAUCCGGGUUGCGGACAGUGUCUGGUGGGUAGUUUGACUGGGGCGGUCUCCUCCUAAAGAGUAACGGAGGAGCACGAAGGUUGGCUAAUCCUGGUCGGACAUCAGGAGGUUAGUGCAAUGGCAUAAGCCAGCUUGACUGCGAGCGUGACGGCGCGAGCAGGUGCGAAAGCAGGUCAUAGUGAUCCGGUGGUUCUGAAUGGAAGGGCCAUCGCUCAACGGAUAAAAGGUACUCCGGGGAUAACAGGCUGAUACCGCCCAAGAGUUCAUAUCGACGGCGGUGUUUGGCACCUCGAUGUCGGCUCAUCACAUCCUGGGGCUGAAGUAGGUCCCAAGGGUAUGGCUGUUCGCCAUUUAAAGUGGUACGCGAGCUGGGUUUAGAACGUCGUGAGACAGUUCGGUCCCUAUCUGCCGUGGGCGCUGGAGAACUGAGGGGGGCUGCUCCUAGUACGAGAGGACCGGAGUGGACGCAUCACUGGUGUUCGGGUUGUCAUGCCAAUGGCACUGCCCGGUAGCUAAAUGCGGAAGAGAUAAGUGCUGAAAGCAUCUAAGCACGAAACUUGCCCCGAGAUGAGUUCU
rnacentral:rRNA from 2 species